UACGUAGGGUGCAAGCGUUAAUCGGAAUACUGGGCGUAAAGCGUGCGCAGGCGGUUGUGUAAGACAGAUGUGAAAUCCCCGGGCUCAACCUGGGGAACUGCAUUUGUGACUGCACAGCUGGAGUGCGGCAGAGGGGGAUGGAAUUCCGCGUGUAGCAGUGAAAUGCGUAGAUAUGCGGAGGAACACCGAUGGCGAAGGCAAUCCCCUGGGCCUGCACUGACGCUCAUGCACGAAAGCGUGG
rnacentral:rRNA from 1 species